rnacentral:pre_miRNA from 1 species
GGAAACUUGGAAACUACCGUUGGAUUGAGAAAUGGACGUCCGAGAUUCGUCUACGUCACCAUGAGUUAAAAUUUAACUCGCAGAUUCACUCAUGAGUUAAAAUUUUACUAGGAGUUAAAUUUUAACUUAUGGUGACGUGGAUGAAUCUCGGACGUCUAUUUCUCGAUCCAACAGUAGUUUUUAAGUUUCC